rnacentral:rRNA from 1 species
GAUGAACGCUAGCUACAGGCUUAACACAUGCAAGUCGAAGGGAAACGCCGAGAUAGCUUGCUGUAUUAGUCGUCCACCGGCGCACGGGUGAGUAACGCGUAUUCAACCUGCCUCUGACAAAGGGAUAACCCGUCGAAAGUCGGACUAAUACCUUAUGCAGUCGUCGGAAGUCAUCUGAUGACGUCGAAAGAUUUCAUCGGUGAGAGAUGGGGAUGCGUCUGAUUAGCUUGUUGGCGGGGUAACGGCCCACCAAGGCGACGAUCAGUAGGGGUUCUGAGAGGAAGGUCCCGCACAUUGGAACUGGGACACCGGCCAAACGCCUACGGGAGGCAGCAGUGAGGGAUAUUGGUCAAUGGGCGUAAGCCUGAACCAGCCAAGUAGCGUGCAGGAAGACGGCCCUAUGGGUUGUAAACUGCUUUUAUGCGGGGGUAAGGUGAGGGGCGUGUCCGUCAUUGCAGGUACCGGAUGAAUAAGGACCGGCUAACUCCGUG